ACUAACGCCAUUUCACUUUUUGAAGGGUUGACAGUUACCUUCUUCACCUUCCCCUGGGCAGUUCUUUGUUGUCUUUGUCAGGCUGGCCCCUGUCCAUAUUUCUCAGAGCCCUGGUCACAGCUCUCUUACUCACCAGCUGCUCAGACAAACCCAGCCUUGACCUGGCUCUGCACUUCAGCACGUUGCCUGCUGCUCCUUAGACUCUUCUCUUGCUACCUGUGAAAGGUCAGAUGCAAAAUGGUGAAGGCAGAAACAGACUGUUUGAUGACAAGAUUUCUCAGGUCCUGCCCAAAUCUAUGG
rnacentral:lncRNA from 10 species